GCAGCCACGUCACAUUGAAACACCGGUUCUCGUACGAUCAACGAAUUUAAGCAACGUCGAGCCAAAUCAGUAUCUAGAUGGGUGACCGCUUCGGAAUACCAUUAUGCUGUAAG